rnacentral:rRNA from 1 species
UACGUAGGUGGCAAGCGUUGUCCGGAUCUACUGGGCGUAAAGAGCGCGCAGGCGGUCGUUCAAGUCGCGUGUGAAAGCCCCCGGCUCAACUGGGGAGGGUCACGCGAUACUGAUCGACUCGAAGGCAGGAGAGGGUAGUGGAAUUCCCGGUGUAGUGGUGAAAUGCGUAGAUAUCGGGAGGAACACCAGUGGCGAAGGCGACUACCUGGCCUGUUCUUGACGCUGAGGCGCGAAAGCUAGGGGAGCAAACGGG